UACGGAGGUGCAAGCGUUAUCCGGAUUCAUUGGGUUUAAAGGGAGCGUAGGUGGCCUUAUAAGUCAGUGGUGAAAUCUCUCAGCUUAACUGAGAAAUUGCCAUUGAUACUGUAGGGCUUGAGUAUAGUUGCCGUUGGCGGAAUAUGACAUGUAGUGGUGAAAUACAUAGAGAUGUCAUAGAACACCGAUUGCGAAGGCAGCUGACGAAACUAUAACUGACACUGAGGCUCGAAAGUGCGGGGAUCAAACAGG
rnacentral:rRNA from 1 species